GUCUGGGCUGAAAAGUAACAUGCUGGUGGGGCUGUCUCCUCACCAUCCCUAGCACGUACAACAGCUUCUUCCACAAGUCUGAGAGUAAGAGGAACACUGUACCAGAAGAAGAGGAAGCAAAAUAAUAUUACCCAGCCUGGAUAAACAAAGAGCAGUGAUCUGGCUGGAGGACGAGGCCAUAGAAAAUGACAGAUCACCGUGGAACCAGAACGGGUAAAGGGGGCAUUAAACUGGAAAAGCAUCCGCAACCCCACACCUGAACGUGCUCUGAAGCGGGAGAUCGGCAGUGGAUCAAGGGUGACAAGUCUUCAGUUCAUCCUCCAGCCCAUAAAAGGAAACAACUCACUCCUAGAGUCCAAACUUCUUCCAGUGGCUUGGAAGCAGUGACACCGUUACAGGGACAAAUCUGUUCACCACACCUCCACUUCUACUCUGACCCAGGAAAGAUGGACAGCCGUUUGUGGUGAAUCUCAGGCAAUCAGCUGGAGUGUCUUUUGGGAAGAAGAAAGGAAAGUGGGUCAGAGUCCUAUGUUUCUCACUAACUUUUUUUUUUUUUGGAAGGGGGCAGUGUUUGCAUGACAGUACAGAUUUGUGGGAGGCCAUAUUUUAACCUGAGACAGCAGCAAACCAGGGACCUCCAGAGCCAAAUACAUCGUCUAAACUGUAG